UUCAACAGUAGGAUCAUUUCUAUAGGUAAUGUCUCUCUUUGACUCUUCAAAAGAGCCACUGAAUCCAACUUGGUUGAUGAGAUAGUCCCAUUGUACCCAUUGAAUGAGAAUCAAAUUAGUUUGUCUGUGAUCCUUAGCUGGUCCGGUCAUCUAUUUUAGCAUUUGCCUUUCGUUUGCAGAGAUGUUCACUGGUUAAUGUCUUGAGAAAGGAGCGAUGAUUUCGAUCCAAUGUUGCAUGCUUUUUCGAAAGACGCGAUACUUGGAUGGGUAUUGAUGGCAGUCUGACAAGU
rfam:Ascoidea rubescens DSM 1968 unplaced genomic scaffold ASCRTscaffold_3, whole genome shotgun sequence.